rnacentral:rRNA from 1 species
UACGUAGGGUGCAAGCGUUGUCCGGAAUUAUUGGGCGUAAAGAGCUCGUAGGCGGUUUGUCGCGUCUGCUGUGAAAACUCGGGGCUUAACCCCGGGCCUGCAGUGGGUACGGGCAGACUAGAGUGCGGUAGGGGAGACUGGAAUUCCUGGUGUAGCGGUGAAAUGCGCAGAUAUCAGGAGGAACACCGGUGGCGAAGGCGGGUCUCUGGGCCGUAACUGACGCUGAGGCACGAAAGCCUGGGGAUCAAACAGG